GUGCUCACUUCGGCAGCACAUACACUAAAACUAGAACGAUACAGAGAAGGUUAGCUUGGCCCCUGCGCAAGGAUGACAUGCAAAUUUGUUCUAUAUUAAAGUAAAUG